GUCAAAUUUAUGUGAUCUAGGGACAUCUAACAGGAACUGGUUGGUAGACCUGAGUGCUCUGACUGGAGUGUAGAUGUUAAGAAGAUCACAUAAAUAUGAUGGGGCCAGACCAUUAAAAACUUUAAAA